AAGGACAGCUGGCGAAACAGGUUUUUAAACGCAAUUUAUGCCCAGGUGAUCAGGGGGGCGUAAGCAGGUUCUCUGGCACCGUUCGAUAGUUUCGCUACCUGAACGAAUGUCACUGUGGACCGGAAAAGUUCAUGGAAUUGUACUUCCGAGCGCAUCAAAGACUCGCGGUUCAGCCUGCGCUGUUCCUGAUGGACUUGAGGCAGUUGGAGGAGCUGCUGUUAGUGUUGGGUGUGAGCUUCUUGUUGUCGUUGGAAGAGACGUCAAAUUUGAGCGAUUGGAGCAGCACUGGAUUCUGUAGACGACUCUGGGGCUUGCGGGGCAUCUUCCAAACGAGGAUUAUCUCCGCAGGGGAUUCCCAAGCGACGAGAGCGAGUAUUCUUGGUGGUAAUCAUCUCCAAAACCGCACACUGAAUUGAUUUCACUUGCACAGUUCAAAAAUCGUGAUUCCGAAACCAAAUGUAAAGUUCUACGCGUUAUAGCAAAAAUAAACAUGUUCGUGAACUGAUUAAGCGAAUAAACAGGCAACAAA